AAGAGAAGCUUUGAUCAGAAGUGUGCUGGGAACAAUUCAGAACUUCUGGGCACAAGUCUUUAUUCUACCAAAGAAAAUCAUACAAUUUAUUGAGGCAAUAUGCAGAAGGUUUCUAUGGUCGGGCAAUGCUGAACCUACAAAGAAGGCUUUGAUUACUUGGGACAAAUUAUGUGCUCCUAAGGUAGCGGGGAGAUUAAAUUUCACAAAUAUAGAGCUGUGGAAUAAAGCUGCUAUUUGCAAACUUCUCUGGCUGGUACAUCUGCAAACAGAAAGAGAAGUUGUGGGUUCAGUGGGUUCAUGCAUACUAUAUAAAAGAUAACAAUAUAUGGAAUACUGAACCAAAGAAUGCUUCAUGGGUUAUUGAAAAGAUAUUCAAGGCCAAAAGACAAUUUCAAGAGGCUGAAUAUUCAGAAGAUGAUGUGAGUUACAUGGACAGAUUCUCCACCAGAAAGAUGUACAAAGCAUUACAAGGGAGAUUCUGAAAGGUGACAUGGAGAAGAAUAGUAUGCAACAACUAGGGAUUACCAAAGUGGAUCUUUAUCUUAAGACUGGCUAUACAAGAUAGGUUAGCCACUAAAGAGAGACUAGCAAGAUGGGGAUUAGUAGAUGAAACAAUAUAUACAAUGUGUCACAUAAAGAAUGAAACAGUGCAGCAUUUGUUUUUCGACUGUGAAUUCUCAAAUGAGGUAUGGCAGAAGCUACUAUCCUGGCAAGGGAUCAUGAGAAGAAAGAAAGAAUUGCAGGAAGAAAUUCAGUGGACAGAGAAGAAGGCAGCAGGGAAGAGUGCAGGAGCUGAAGUGUACAGAAUGGUAUUAGCUACAGCAGUCUACCAUAUAUGGCAAGCCAGAAACAAUAUUAUUUUCCAGAAGAAGCAAGUCAAUGCACAGAAUAUAGUGAAAAUGAUCAUACAGGAGAUACAUAUUAGAGCUCAAUAUAGUACAAAACUUGAUACCUAUUUGAAAAAUAUGAAUUGGUAUCCAGCAUGAGCUAAAUUAGAGAUGUAAUAGGAGUUUAAGGCGUAGAGAAGAAACCUCAUGCUGGGGCUUCAUGUCUAGCAGGAGGCUGUUAGUAGCUGUUUUUGUAAGUUGUAAAUAUUUAUGUUUUUGUAGCUGUUAGUAGCUAAUAAUAUCGAUUCUCUUCUCUUACUAUGUAUUUGCAGACUGCUCCCUUCUACUUAUUCCUAUUUCUCAUGUAGUCCCUAUUGUUAUAAUACUUCUUAGGAUCAAACGAAUCAAGCAUGAAGUAUAUAACCAAUUACAAAAUCACAAAAUUGUGUAAUAAAAAAAUAAAAUACAAAAAAAAAUUACAUUUAUUAACGGUUAAAG
rnacentral:lncRNA from 1 species